UGAGGAAUAUUGGACAAUGGAUGGAAAUCUGAUCCAGCCAUGCCGCGUGCAGGAAGAAUGUCCUAUGGAUUGUAAACUGCUUUUGUAUGGGAGCAAUAAGGUAUUCGUGAAUACCGAUGAGAGUACCAUACGAAUAAGCACCGGCUAACUCCGUGCCAGCAGCCGCGGUAAUACGGAGGGUGCAAGCGUUAUCCGGAUUUAUUGGGUUUAAAGGGUGCGUAGGCGGUUAUAUAAGUCAGCGGUGAAAUUUUUCGGCUCAACCGGAAACAUGCCGUUGAUACUGUAUAGCUUGAAUAUGGUUGCUGUGAGUGGAAUGUGUAGUGUAGCGGUGAAAUGCUUAGAUAUUACACAGAAUAUCGAUUGCGAAGGCAACUCACAAAGCCAAUAUUGACGCUGAGG
rnacentral:rRNA from 1 species